rnacentral:lncRNA from 1 species
ACCAGCUCGUGCGCGCUCAAUCCGGUAAAUCUGGAUGUGGAAGUCUCUUCGACUGUCUGAAUGAGUUCUGAACCAUAAGACGUCAAGAUCUACAUUUAUUUUUUGAUCUGUAAAGGGACGUGUUUACCUCGUUCGACUGAGUGAGCGAGAAAUGAAUUAUUUAAGGAAAAAUGUCUCAGGCAAUUUUUCCCUUCCUUCCGACUCACUGAUGCCGAUGUCUUCGAAGGAAGUGAACUUCAGCUGUACUUUCGAUGAGGAGUUCAAGUAUAUUCUUCUGCCCGUUUCAUAUUCCCUGGUGUGUUUCUUCGGACUAAUCCUUAACUCUGUGGCUCUGUGGAUGUUCAUCACUAAGAUGAGGCCUUGGAAACCCAGUACGGUGUACAUGUUUCAUCUGGCCCUGUCAGACACGCUGUAUGUGCUCUCCUUGCCUAUGCUCAUAUACUACUAUGCAAACCGCAGCCACUGGCCUUUUGGCGUUGUCCUCUGUAAGAUCGUACGGUUUCUUUUUUAUGCCAACUUAUACUGCAGCAUCCUUUUUCUCACUUGCAUCAGUGUGCAUCGCUACCUUGGCAUCUGUCACCCUAUUCGUUCUCUGACUUUAAUAAAGCCACGCCAUGCACACAUGGUCUGUGGUUUUGUCUGGACAGCGGUGAUAGCCUGCCUGGUGCCCACGCUCAUUUUAGUCAAUACUUCUAGAAAUGGAAAUAGCACUUUGUGUCACGACACAAGUCGCCCUGAAGAAUUUCACAACUUCGUAACCUACAACUCUGUGGUAAUGGUGUUGCUUUUUAUUCUGCCAUUUCUAGUCAUCGUGGUUUGCUACUGUUUA